GGUUCCAUGGUAUAAUAGUGAUCACAUCUGUUUUACAUGCCAAAGGUCCUAGGUUCAAGCCCCAGUGGAAUCG
rnacentral:tRNA from 1 species